rnacentral:rRNA from 1 species
GACGAACGCUGGCGGCGUGCCUAAUACAUGCAAGUUGAGCGCUGAAGGUUGGUACUUGUACCGACUGGAUAAGCAGCGAACGGGUGAGUAACGCGUGGGGAAUCUGCCUUUGAGCGGGGGACAACAUUUGGAAACGAAUGCUAAUACCGCAUAAAAACUUUAAACACAAGUUUUAAGUUUGAAAGAUGCAAUUGCAUCACUCAAAGAUGAUCCCGCGUUGUAUUAGCUAGUUGGUGAGGGAAAGGCUCACCAAGGCGAUGAUACAUAGCCGACCUGAGAGGGUGAUCGGCCACAUUGGGACUGGGACACGGCCCAAACUCCUACGGGAGGCAGCAGUAGGGAAUCUUCGGCAAUGGACGAAAGUCUGACCGAGCAACGCCGCGUGAGUGAAGAAGGUUUUCGGAUCGUAAAACUCUGUUGGUAGAGAAGAACGUUGGUGAGAGUGGAAAGCUCAUCAAGUGACGGUAACUACCCAGAAAGGGACGGCUAACUACGUG